rnacentral:piRNA from 1 species
AUGCAUGCCAUAAUUUCUUUAGA